rnacentral:rRNA from 1 species
AUUGAACGCUGGCGGCAGGCCUAACACAUGCAAGUCGAACGAGUGGCGGACGGGUGAGUAGUGUCUGGGAAACUCCCUGAUGGAGGGGGAUAACUACUGGACACUAUAGAUAAUACCACAUCCCCGCGGGUGUCCCCAUAUGGGCUUCGCUGGUUGGUGGGGUAACGGCUCCCCCGGGCGCCGAUCCCUAGCUGGUCUUAGAGGAUGAACAGCCACACUGGAACUGAGACACGGUCCAGACUCCUACGGGAGGCAGCAGUGGGGAAUAUUGCACAAUGGGCGCAAGCCUGAUGCAGCCAUGCCGCGUGUAUGAAGAAGGCCUUCGGGUUGUAAAGUACUUUCAGCGAGGAGGCGUUACCCGCAGAAGAAGCACCGGCUAACUCCGUGCCAGCAGCCGCGGUAAUAC